rnacentral:rRNA from 1 species
UACGGAGGGGGCUAGCGUUGUUCGGAAUUACUGGGCGUAAAGCGCACGUAGGCGGCUUUGUAAGUUAGAGGUGAAAGCCCGGGGCUCAACUCCGGAAUUGCCUUUAAGACUGCAUCGCUAGAAUUGUGGAGAGGUAAGUGGAAUUCCGAGUGUAGAGGUGAAAUUCGUAGAUAUUCGGAAGAACACCAGUGGCGAAGGCGACUUACUGGGCCAUUACUGACGCUGAGGAGCGAAAGCGUGGGGAGCAAACAGG